GCCUGGGGUUAUGAAGAUACUAAGACAUUUCGGUGGCGAAAAGAGUUUGCACACAACAGAAUGCUGCUCCUGCGGAUUUAGAAUAUGGCCAGCAAUGCCUCUGGCAACUCUCCCCUUUUGGUAGUUUUCAUUGGAAAAGAAGAGACAGAUGGUAGGAGAAGUGGGCUGUCUCUUUCAUCAUUACUUUGGUCCUGGAUUUCACGGCUGCUUGCCUUUUCUCCUGCCCUCUCCUGAGGGAACAAGUUCAUAUUCAUAUCUUCACUUUGAUUAUCAUUUCCUGAGAAAGACCUCUUUGGAAGAUGAUUUCUGAAGCAGUACUAGCAGAGAAACAGUAUUUGCAGGCAUAUCAGGAGGUAACAAAAAGAAAAGCUAAGUUAGGAAGAG